rnacentral:tRNA from 1 species
GCGGGAGUAGCUCAGCUGGUAGAGCAUUGGCCUUCCAAGCCAUGUGUCGCGGGUUCAAAUCCCGUCUCCCGCU